AAAUAAGCCUCUCUUUAUAUGUUAUUUGCCGAAUCUCAGUUUUCCAUGUGGGUUUUAUGAUAAAGUUCCCUCUUUCAAGUUGGCAGUUAACUGGAAAAUGCAUCUUCUUUAGGAGUGCUAUUUUUAUCCUGACGACUACUGAUCAUUCAUCCACACUGUGUGUCUCAUCAUUGCAGGUAAUUUAUGACAAAUGUAUAAAGUACACGUUUUAUAAACUCAUGAACACCAGCCAGUUGACUUGCCCGGUUUUGUUAGUUUAGGUGUAUUAUACUUCUUCGCCAACAGAGGGGGAUAUUGAGUAAUUUUUCAGGUUAAUUUGAUAUAUUUUGACAGUCCUUUUUGUUUUGUCAACUUUUCGAUAUUGAUGUUAUUCAGCUCACUGGGGCCUGUUGCACAAAAGUAGAAUUAAGACAUCCGGGAUAAAUGACUCAGCUGAGCUCAAUGAAGCCAAAACAUGUGCGUCCAGGCUUAAUUGGUUGCACAAAGACCAAGCCAGGAUGAGCAGACACGGAUUCAUUAAGCCAGGUGAAACCAAUCCUGGAUAGGUGCGCGCUCACGGCUCACUCAAAUAGACCCCGCCACAGAUCACAGAUUAACUGAUUUACCAUGGCAACUAGAGCCGCGUACUUUUCCCCGUCGGAAGCACAAAUCCUCAUGGAGGCAUACGUAUUGCAGACCGCCUGAAUGCAUUAAACAUGAACGGGCCAAAACGGACAUGGCAGCAGGUCAAAAUCAAAUACAAGAACAUUCUGCAGAAUGCAGUGAAAAAGAAUACCCACAGACAAGGCACGGGUGGUGGGUCACCAAAGGCUGACCUUACCCCAGCAGAGGACAUGGCCUUGGAGCUAAAUAAAGGCAGGCCCGUCUUAGAGGGGAUCCCUGGGGGAAAGAGACGAGCAUAGGUUCCUCCCAAGAUGCCACCCGCUUCAUUCAAGUGCCUGGCAGCACUGUGUUUCUGUUAGAGCCACCAGCACAAGCACCAGACGAUGCUGAUCCAGGUGAAGGCCCCAGUGCAGCAGCAACAGCACAUGAUGGAGACGAUGAUGAGGAGGAGACCAUCUCUCUGGAUUCCAGAAGGCAUGAGGACCCAGAUGCUAUACAGUGGGAAAACCAGCCUGGCAACAUAGUGCGUAUUAAUAAAAGGACACCACAUCCUGCCAAAUUCCAGCUGCGCUAAUUGUAUUGUGUUCACAGAGCUCACAAGCUAUCAGAAAGUUGUAUGGCAACCACCUCCGGCGCCAAAUAGAACUGGCAGACAUAGACAUUCAGUACAAGAAGAAAAAGAUGGAAAAUCUUGCACUGGAGUCCGAAAUAAAAAAAGAGGACAAUUAGGAAACUGGACCUUGAAAUAAAAAAACUUGAGAGGGAGCUCCAAGAAGAUGACACAGCUCAAAAUAAAAAUUAGGUAUAUUCUCGUAAAGUCAAGUGAGCCAUGACAUAUGAGCUCUUAUUGUGAGCACACAGGACGGUGGCAUCUUUCUAAGGUUUUU